UACGUAGGGCGCAAGCGUUGUCCGGAAUUAUUGGGCGUAAAGAGCCCGUAGGCGGCUUGUCACGUCGGGUGUGAAAGCCCGGGGCUUAACCCCGGGUCUGCAUUCGAUACGGGCUAGCUAGAGUGUGGUAGGGGAGAUCGGAAUUCCUGGUGUAGCGGUGAAAUGCGCAGAUAUCGGGAGGAACACCGGUGGCGAAGGCGGUUCUCUGGGCCUUACCUGACGCUGAGGAGCGAAAGCGUGGGGAGCGAACAGG
rnacentral:rRNA from 1 species